UCACCAUUUGAGAUAUCCAUUGCCAAACUCUCAACUAAAACACAACCUCCAUUUUUUUUCAUUUUUUCAUAAAAUUUCCUUAACAAAAAUCGUUGCAAUUUUUCCGUAGAUUAAUAAUCUACCAUUGCAUGUAGGAUCAAGAUUCGACAAGUUGUCGAGCUAUCGGGUCGGAGGACCAAGAGAACUAACAGAGUUGUUUAAAGGAGCAUUGACGGAGUAAUACCGUAGUUAAACAGUUUCUGAAAAGCUGGUCCGAUUUUGAAGGAGGCUUCCGAAUGUUUGUUUCUCGGAAGUCUAUUUUGGUAAAAGACUGUAAAGAAGGUUUUAAGUUCUAGUUGUCCGUAGUAGACUAGUAUAGUCUUAUUGUAUAUAAAUGUUUUAAAGCACAUUUAAACUCUGAUGUUUUGUCCCAUCAGUUAUUUAAUAAAUGAUUCAUACA